rnacentral:tRNA from 1 species
UAGAAAAUGGUGUAGUGGGAGCACCUAAAGUUUUGAUCUUUAGGGUAAGGGUUCGAAUCCCUUUUUUCUAG